GCGAGUUUGGCCGAGUGGUCUAAGGCGCCGUGUUUAGGAAGGAACUCCUGAUCCGCGGUGGGCAUGCCCGCGCAGGUUCGAACCCUGCAGCUCGCA
rnacentral:tRNA from 1 species